rnacentral:lncRNA from 1 species
ACAGGGAUUAAUAUUGCAAUUAUUCCCGAUCCUGAAACACUGCAUGGAGACAUGGAUUAAAAUGCAAAGCCAUCUAAAUUUUUGGAAUCAAUUAAAAAAGAACAUAAAACAAAUCAGACGCAGAAGGAAGCGGAUCAGAACGCAGCGCAAAGAAAAGGGAACUGCCGCAUAAAUAAUCCCUUUGAGGCGCAAAGGCGCAAAUCCGGGGCUCCAGGCGGGUAAGCGCGCGGACCUUUCCGCUCCUGUGCGACACCGUUUCGCUUUUAAUGUUAAAACCCUAUUUCCAUUCUUUCCUUCUCAAAGCAGAUGCAAAAAAAAUACAAAACCCUUGCUCUGUGUGGGUUCAUUUCAUCACGCAGCCAUGAACAUCCAUCAGUUUGAUGGCCAGUGGUGCGGAUAAGGUCCAGAUCUAGCCAACAAGGGUUGCGUUUCCAAAAAUCAGGUAACCUCACUCCUUUUUUUUUACAAAAAAAAAUGUGAAUCUUAUACUGUUUUUUUUUAAAACAAAGUGAAAUAAAUUUCACAUAUAUUCAAACAAAACUUUAAUCUCACUCGACCCUCGCCCACAUCUAUGUAUAUCUGAGAUGUUUGGGGCUUUUCAUCGGCGUCGAUUUAGAUUUCUCCCUUUUAUUAUUCGUGCUAAAUCUGCGAAUCAAUCAAAGAAAAUAUAGAAAGGAAAAAAAAAAUUGGGAUUCACCUUUCGAAUUUUUGAGCUAGAUUUUGAAUAUCUAAUGUGCAUGCGUAUAUUGAGUGUAAUGUGUGUGUGUAAAAUUUCUGGAGUACAAAAUGAGGCCUUUUAAUAGCCGAAAUUACAGAAAAAUAGCGAAAAAAUAGUAUAUUUUCUUGCUGUCAUCUGCCCAUUUCUGUUAUUCCAUUUCUUCUCGUGUGUUCUCUUGCAGGAACGGCCGUACAGAGGAGCGACCUUGGUGACGUGGAGACUAAACGUCAAAAAUUUUUACGAGAGGCUGACCUUCUGGUGCCAUUCUGGCUUACUCCAGAAGCUUCUAGCAUUCUCAGGAUGCUGAGACAAAUUUAAUUUUUGGGUAUAUUGGGCCUCUGUUUUUGGGCUAGAUUUAGGACGUGAGUUAAUUUUUAUUGGGCUUUGGAAAUUUAGAAUUUGGGUCAAACAUUAUGUAAUUAGGGCUAAAGAAUUUUGGGGUAUUUGGUUAGAAAAUGGGUUUAUUGGAAUUGGGUUUUAAUUUUAUGUAAAGGGUUUUGGGUUAUUUGUUUAAUUGGGUUAGGUGUUUGUAAAUGGACUUUUUGGACUAUUUAUUUGGGUUUAUUUAUUUGCAAAUAGGCCCGGGCAAAAUUGGUUAACUACAAUAAUAAUAAUAAUAAUAAUAUUAUUAACAUUAACAUUAACUAAUAAUGCGUAAUAAGAUGGAAAUGUAAACAUUAUGAAAGUAAAAUAAGGGCAAAGAAAUAAUAAAUAAAAUAAUAAAAAUGAAAAGUUGAAAUUAAAUAAAUAAAGGAUUCAAUUGGAAUUAAAAUAAAAUUAAGGGCAUAAAUUAUAAAAAUAAGUAAAUAGACUAACGAAGGCUAGAAUGUAACACACUAAAAAAGGUUAGGGAUUGAAUAGAAAAAUAUUCCUAAACAAAGGACUAAGGUGCAACACGCUAAGAAAAAUAAGGGUUGAAAGGGAAAAUAUCUCAGACUUCCUUAUGUGCAUCGUUUGAAGGGACCAAAAUAAAGGAAAUUGAAAUUAAAUGGGAUAAAUUUAAAAAGACAAAAAUAGAAAUAGGAAUGUAUUGAAAAAGGUGUAAAAAGCGGAAGGACCAGAAUGGUAAUUAGACCUUCAUCGCGAAAACAUGCGAAUCCUAAAAUCUCGGGUCUGGGAAUGAGGUUAUUUUUAAAACGAAACCGUUUUGGCGCCUAAAGCUUUGGCGCAAAACGACGUCGUACAGGACCUUAUAUAAAUAAAAAAAUAGAACAAAAAAACAUUUCAAUAGCAUUUUUAAAAAAAAUUAUCCUUUCUCACUUUUUCUCUGUGGGUAUAAUCCAGAAUCCGACCAUGGAGGCCGUCGGCAGCUCGUCAUGGCCACAGGUCAUCAGCGACGGUGGCUAGCAAGAAUAAGAAAGCUCCUUUUAGCCUUUUUUCGGCCUGAAUUUGAAAAAAACCAAAAAAAAAAAAGAAAUCUUUGACCCUUCACCUAGCCAUUUUCGAUGUCGGAGAAGGUCUUUGAUGACAGAGUAGACGAAGCGAUCUAGGUGAGAAACAUUUUUUACUUUUAUUUUAUUUUUUAAAUAAAACAAAAAUAAAAAAGGAAUCAUCUUUGUUAAUGUUUUUCAUCUUUUGAUUGUUUUCUCUUUUUGUGUGUGUGUGUGUGUAUAUUUCUCUGUAACCAAUUAAAACUAGGGUAUUGACCCUUAUAGCCAUGAGUUACACUGUUUGUUAUUGUUCUUUUGUAUUUCCUCUAUUAUUUCGUGCUAUCUAUGCUACUCUUCUUGCCACUGUUUUGUUUUUGUCUUUUUUCUUUCUCUUUUCUUGUAGGUGACGAAGUCAACAGAGAGGAGAGGCAGGCCCUUUACUCUUUUGGUGAAAUGGAGGCCAAGACGUGUCAGUCUUGGGACAAAGAGCUUCAGGCAGUGAGCACUCAAAAAUGGGAGUGAGGCGCUUCUGUAAAAUAAUUUGGGCCACUGGGCCUUUUGUUUUUGGUUUGGGCCGUUUGGGCCUCCCUUUUUUUUGUAAUUGGACUAUUAAUUUUUUUUUAUUUGGCUUAGUCUGGGCCCGAGGAAAAAUGACCUAUUACAGCUGCCUCUCUUUACUCAUUGACAUGUAAUGGAAAUGGAGCAAAGACCUUAAUAAGGGUUAAUUUUGACUGGUCUUGCCGAAUCUCAACUUCUUUGGUGUUUCUCUUUUCCAAGUAACUUCAUUCUAACCCACUGCAACUUUAGAGGUACAGGGUUUGUCGCUUUAAUCUACUCUACUGUAACUUUAGGGAGAUAAGAUUAGUAACUUCAAUCUGCUCCACUGCAACUUCCAAUAGAUAAGAUUCGUAACUCGUAGCUUUAAUAUAUUCCACUACAACUUCAGGGAAAUAAGAUUCGUAUCUUCAAUAUGCUCCACUGCAACUUCAGGGAGAUAAGAUUUGUAACUUGUAGCUUCAAUCUUUUCCACUACAACAUCAGGGAGAUAAGAUUCGCAUCUUCUAUCUCCUCCACUGCAACUUCAGGGAGAUAAGAUUUGUAACUUGUAGCUUCAAUAUGUUCUACUGCAACUUCAGGAAAAUAAGAUUCGCAUCUUCAAUCUACUCCACUUCAACUUUAGGGAGAUGAGAUUUGUAUCUUCAAUCUAUUACCCUGCAACUUCAGAGAGAUAAAAUUUGUGGCUUUAAUUUGUUCCACAGGGAGAUAAGAUUCGCCAUGUGACCUCAAUCUGUCCCAUUACAACUUUAGGGGUAUAGGAUUUGUGGUUUCACUGAUCUGUUACACCGUUCUCUGGGGAACAUGACCUGUAGAAUCCAUUUCAUGGGCCUAUCUAUGCCAAGCAAUUAGGAUGUUAUAAUCAGAAUAAAUUAAAUGCUCCUAUUGCAUGAAUGAAAAAUGUCAUUUUUCGAGAAUGAUCCCCCUUUUAAUGCUUAGGCUAGCAUUGCUCGUUGUUUAUCAAGGUUUUAUUACUCACGUAUUACCCUGCCUUCUUGUUCAACUGGUUUCUUUGAUAAGAAACCACAAGAAGUAAUCACAAAUUACACUAUUCGUUCCCAAAUAUUUUCUAACCCUUAGAUUUGGUUAG